ACGGAAGGCAGCAGUGGGGAAUAUUGGGCAAUGGGCGAAGGCCUGACCCAGCAACGCCGCGUGAAGGAAGAAGGUCUUCGGAUUGUAAACUUCUUUUAUGAGGGACGAAGGACGUGACGGUACCUCAUGAAUAAGCCACGGCUAACUACGUGCCAGCAGCCGCGGUAAUACGUAGGUGGCAAGCGUUAUCCGGAUUUACUGGGUGUAAAGGGCGUGUAGGCGGUUUGGCAAGUCAGAAGUGAAAUUCCCGGGCUUAACUUGGGCGCUGCUUCUGAAACUGCUUAACUUGAGUACUGGAGAGGAUAGUGGAAUUCCUAGUGUAGCGGUAAAAUGCACAGAUAUUAGGAGGAACACCGGUGGCGAAGGCGGCUAUCUGGACAGUAACUGACGCUGAGGCGCGAAAGCACGGGGAGCAAACAGGAUUAGAUACCCUGGUA
rnacentral:rRNA from 1 species